rnacentral:rRNA from 1 species
UAGGGAAUCUUCGGCAAUGGACGAAAGUCUGACCGAGCAACGCCGCGUGAGUGAAGAAGGUUUUCGGAUCGUAAAACUCUGUUGGUAGAGAAGAACGUUGGUGAGAGUGGAAAGCUCAUCAAGUGACGGUAACUACCCAGAAAGGGACGGCUAACUACGUGCCAGCAGCCGCGGUAAUACGUAGGUCCCGAGCGUUGUCCGGAUUUAUUGGGCGUAAAGCGAGCGCAGGUGGUUUAUUAAGUCUGGUGUAAAAGGCAGUGGCUCAACCAUUGUAUGCAUUGGAAACUGGUAGACUUGAGUGCAGGAGAGGAGAGUGGAAUUCCAUGUGUAGCGGUGAAAUGCGUAGAUAUAUGGAGGAACACCGGUGGCGAAAGCGGCUCUCUGGCCUGUAACUGACACUGAGGCUCGAAAGCGUGGGGAGCAAACAGGAUUAGA